UACGAAGGGGGGCUAGCGUUGCUCGGAAUUACUGGGCGUAAAGGGCGCGUAGGCGGAUGUCUAAGUUGGGGGUGAAAUCCCGGGGCUCAACCUCGGAACCGCCUUCAAUACUGGAUAUCUUGAGUUCGGGAGAGGUGAGUGGAAUGCCGAGUGUAGAGGUGAAAUUCGUAGAUAUUCGGCGGAACACCAGUGGCGAAGGCGACUCACUGGCCCGAUACUGACGCUGAGGCGCGAAAGCGUGGGGAGCAAACAGG
rnacentral:rRNA from 1 species